rnacentral:rRNA from 1 species
UACGGGGGGGGCAAGCGCUGUUCGGAAUUACUGGGCGUAAAGGGCUCGUAGGUGGCCAACUAAGUCAGACGUGAAAUCCCUCAGCUUAACUGGGGAACUGCGUCUGAUACUGGAUGGCUUGAGUUUGGGAGAGGGACGCGGAAUUCCAGGUGUAGCGGUGAAAUGCGUAGAUAUCUGGAGGAACACCGGUGGCGAAGGCGGCAUUCUGGACCGACAUUGACGCUGAGGAGCGAAAGCCAGGGGAGCAAACGGG